ACACACUCAUCAUCUCUAUUAUGUCAUCAAUUAUUUAACUUGCAGAAGCUGUUUUGUGAACAGACCUUGGAGCAGAAGCCUAUUCCAUUUUCAAUACCACCAGGACAGUCCUAUCUUCAGCAAUUUCUUCCAGCACUAUGUGAAUCAGAGCAUGACAAUGAUUACCUCAUCACCUCUAUAUGCAGGUGACAAGACUUUGGAAUCACAAACAGCUGGUUUCAGCCAUCUACAAUGGAUCCACAACAGGACACAGCUGAGCCCCUCAGCUGGUGUUAUGUAUGAGAAAGCAUAUUUAAGAAAGGGCAAAACAUUAUCUGGCAGGGAGAGAGGUGAGGUUAAAGGAAGGGAGAGAANNNNNNNNNNNNNNNNNNNNNNNNNNNNNNGUGGGCGUGGGCGUGGGCGUGGGCGUGGGCGUGGGCGUGGGCGUGGGCGUGGGCGUGGGCGUGGGCGUGGGCGUGGGCAGCUGUUACAGUCUCCAUUCUGUUGCUCAGAGAAGGAUCUAGGCAGAAGAGCUAAUAACAAAGGAGCAAAGCUGAACCUGUGAAAGAGGAAAAAAGGGUUUGGGAGUGUUUUAGCUAUGGUCUCUUUUUUUUUUUUUCCUCAUUAUCCUCUAUUUUAAUUAGCAAUGAACAUACAUUCCUUAAAGUUGAGUAUGUUUUACCCAUGAUAAUAAUUGAUAAGUGAUCUCUGUCUUUAUCUCAGCCCAUGAACUCUUUCAUUCUAUUUAUGUCUAGCUAAGGAAGAGAUGUGAAAGCAGCCAGGUGAGAGUCUGGCAGCUAGGAGGAUCUUUUAUGUAUGUACCAGACUUGCUGUGCAGAAAUAGGAAAAAAAAAAAAAAUUAAUGACUUUAAAUGCAAGGUUUCUUAUUUCCCUCUUGCCUCCCUACAGACCCCACCAGAGUCUGGAUAAAACACAGAUGAAUUACAGCGAGUCAGGACAACAGAUUAUCAGAGCAGGCAGUUCAGGACUUUCAAGAGCUCCCAGCCCUGUCAAAAGUGCCUCGCCUAGACACGUGUUUUUGAAGGCCAGCGUAUUCCUUCCUACUUGCUACCCUCUUCCUUUCACUUCCUGUGGACAACUCAUUCUGAUCUUUGCUUGAAGCUUUCUGUGGCACUGGGCAGUGCCCCACCUGCUGCCAUCCCCUCUCAGGGACAAUGGUGUGCUCCAGAUUGCAGCACAGACUUCAGCUUGAACUUGUUAAAUAUCUGCUGGGAGGCUUGAAAAUUGAAAUAUUCUGUUCUCUAUGACCUGUAAAUGGGAAUGAAACCUGCAAGACAACUCAUCCCCUACAGGAUGAGGGAAAGAACAAAAAGGUGCUAAAAAAAAUCCCUUGUUUUCUUCCUGGUAAAUAUUACAUGAGGUGAUGCUUUCUGCAAUGUAACCUGUAGCUCCAUUGUGCUAAGAUGCUUUUUCUCAGCUAACAGCUUUUCAAGUUUUAAGUUAUGCUUUAUAUACAGCAGGGAUGCACCUGCUGGCUGAUGGGAUCCUUGUGUUGUCUUCAGACUGGAGGAGAGAGGAUGGCUGCCCUCUGAAAGAUUCUGCAGGGGGUACAGAGCUACCGCUUGAGAAGGACAGAGUCACACAUCUGUCUAGGCAAUCACAAGGGGGUACUAAAACACCAACAAAUAGUGUGGCUGUUGCCUGUUGGUGUGAUGUUCCAGCAUCUAUCUAUUUAAGAUUUCCCAUGGGUUUCUUACUGAGUAGUUGGAGAUGGAAACUUUUGCUGAAUUCUAGUGUAUCAGCAAAGACAUAGACUCUCAGCAGGCUGAGUAAACAAACACCACAUUAGCUACUGAUAGGAUUUUGUGUACUUGCUUGGAUAUUUUAGCAGGAAGUGAGAUGUAGGGGUAGGCUGGAAAUAAAUGGAGACCAUUCAAACA
ensembl:lncRNA